AUGCCCGGUGUGCUGGAGGCUCUUUCAGGGGCUGUUGCUGCUAGGCUGGCUGCUCAGGAAACAACAAAUGGUAAUGUGGUGUUUACUUUUAAUGCUGGGAAAAAUUCGGUGCAGGGCAAGGAAAAGAGGAAGGGGGGGAAAGGAAAAAAUGUGGGAGUGUUUGAGAGAGCAGAGAAUGCACGUAAAGUAACUAUAGGUAAAAAGAGGAGAAUCCCAUCUGAUCCUAGACCAACAGGUAGUGAGUUAGAUUUUUCUUUUGAGAAAGAGAUGGAGAGCUAUGAGCGCAUCCUUUAUGGUGAUUUGAAUGUGUCCUCCAAGUGA
rnacentral:rRNA from 1 species